GCCUACGGGGGGCAGCAGUAGGGAAUCUUCCACAAUGGGCGAAAGCCUGAUGGAGCAACGCCGCGUGGGUGAAGAAGGUCUUCGGAUCGUAAAACCCUGUUGUUAGAGAAGAAAGUGCGUGAGAGUAACUGUUCACGUUUAGACGGUAUCUAACCAGAAAGCCACGGCUAACUACGUGCCAGCAGCCGCGGUAAUACGUAGGUGGCAAGCGUUAUCCGGAUUUAUUGGGCGUAAAGAGAACGCAGGCGGUCUUUUAAGUCUGAUGUGAAAGCCUUUGGCUUAACCGGAGCAGUGCAUUGGAAACU
rnacentral:rRNA from 1 species